rnacentral:rRNA from 1 species
UGUGAAAUUCCCGGGCUCAACCUGGGAACUGCAUUUGUGACUGCCUGACUAGAAUCCCGCAAAAGGGAAUCGAAUUCCGCGUGUAGCAGUGAAAUGCGUAGAUAUGCGGAGGAACACCGAUGGCGAAGGCAACUCCCUGGGCCUGCACUGACGCUCAUGCACGAAAGCGUGGGGAGCAAACAGGAUUAGAUACCCUGGUAGUCCACGCCCUAAACGAUGUCGACUAGUUGUUGGACGGGUUACUGUUCAGUAACGAAGCUAACGCGUGAAGUCGACCGCCUGGGGAGUACGGCCGCAAGGUUAAAACUCAAAGGAAUUGACGGGGACCCGCACAAGCGGUGGAUGAUGUGGUUUAAUUCGAUGCAACGCGAAAAACCUUACCUACCCUUGACAUGCCAGGAACUUACCAGAGAUGGUUUGGUGCUCGAAAGAGAGCCUGGACACAGGUGCUGCAUGGCUGUCGUCAGCUCGUGUCGUGAGAUGUUGGGUUAAGUCCCGCAACGAGCGCAACCCUUGUCAUUAGUUGCUACGCAAGAGCACUCUAAUGAGACCGCCGGUGACAAACCGGAGGAAGGUGGGGAUGACGUCAAGUCCUCAUGGCCCUUAUGGGUAGGGCUACACACGUCAUACAAUGGGCGGUACAGAGGGUUGCCAACCCGCGAGGGGGAGCCAAUCCCUUAAAACCGCUCGUAGUCCGGAUUGUAGUCUGCAACUCGACUGCAUGAAGUCGGAAUCGCUAGUAAUCGCGGAUCAGCUUGCCGCGGUGAAUACGUUCCCGGGUCUUGUACACACCGCCCGUCACACCAUGGAAGUGGGGUUUACCAGAAGUAGUUAGCUUAACCGAAAGGGGGGCGAUUACCACGGUAGGCUUCAUGACUGGGGUGAAGUCGUAACAAGGUAGCCGUAUCGGAAGGUGCGGCUGGAUCACCUCCU